AUCUUGUUUCCUUUUUGUAGAGGCAAGGUUUCACUUGUUGUUGCUCAGGCUGGUAUCCAACUACUGGACUCAAGCGAUCCUCUUGCCUUGUCCUCCUAAAGCACUUGGAUUACAGGCGUGAGCCACAACGCCUGGCCUGCAUGACAGUGUGUAUUAAGAUGAUACCCAGAGGAGAAUCCACACUGCCAGUGGAGUCCAGUGACUGCCUUGGUGCCUUAGAAACCUCCACAGAGAAGUCGAGGGAAGAGGAUCAGCAAACUUCUAAUCAACCAAACAUGAUUGCUUUGCCAGGAACAUCAGCAAAGGGAACCAAAGAAAAAAAGUCUGUCAAAGGCAAUAAAGGUAAGAGGUCUUCAAAUCCUCAAAUCCCACUUUCUCAGGUCUUAGAAGCCAGAGGAAUUUUUCUGAAGAAGAAAAGCCAGGGAAGAAAUUUCCGUCAUAUAUUUUGCAAAUCCUACAGUUCAUGGGAGUCUAGCUUAAACUGCACCUUCCUGAAGCAUCUUUUGGUCACCAUUGCCCUAACCGAUCCCUUCCUAUCUUCAGACUUCCACAGCAUAUUUGGUUCUGUUGAUCAUUUUUUCCUUCACUUGCUACUUGGAGUUAAGAAUUUCAAUGUGCAAUGAUUUGGGAACAGACAGCUGUAAAUUUGAAGACCCAUUCUUGAAACCGGACUACCUAUUCUAAAAAUAAGUUUGAACAAUAUCUACCUUUAUUCGGGUGUGGGAAUGGAGUGUUAAAAUUUACAUAGAAUAAUUAAGUGAAGUACUUACACUAUGCCUAAGAAGUAAUGGCCGGGCGCGGUGGCUCAAGCCUGUAAUCCCAGCACUUUGGGAGGCCGAGACGGGCGGAUCACGAGGUCAGGAGAUCGAGACCAUCCUGGCUAACACAGUGAAACCCCGUCUCUACUAAAAAAUACAAAAAAAAAAAAACUAGCCGGGCGAGGUGGCGGGCGCCUGUAGUCCCAGCUACUCGGGAGGCUGAGGCAGGAGAAUGGCGUAAACCCGGGAGGCGGAGCUUGCAGUGGGCCGAGAUCUGGCCACUGCACUCCAGCCUGGGCAA
rnacentral:lncRNA from 10 species